GUGUCCAUAGCUCAGUUGAAUAGAGCAACAGGUUGCGGUCCUGUAGGCCGGGGGUUUGAGUCCCUCUGGGCACACCA
rnacentral:tRNA from 1 species